rnacentral:rRNA from 1 species
UGGGGAAUAUUGCACAGUGGGCGCAAGCCUGAUGCAGCAACGCCGCGUGAGGGAAGACGGUUUUCGGAUUGUAAACCUCUGUCUUUGGUGACGAAGAAGUGACGGUAGCCAAGGAGGAAGCCACGGCUAAUUACGUGCCAGCAGCCGCGGUAAUACGUAGGUGGCAAGCGUUAUCCGGAAUUACUGGGUGUAAAGGGAGCGCAGGCGGGAGAACAAGUUGGAAGUGAAAUCCAUGGGCUCAACCCAUGAACUGCUUUCAAAACUGUUUUUCUUGAGUAGUGCAGAGGUAGGCGGAAUUCCCGGUGUAGCGGUGGAAUGCGUAGAUAUCGGGAGGAACACCAGUGGCGAAGGCGGCCUACUGGGCACCAACUGACGCUGAGGCUCGAAAGUGUGGGUAGCAAACAGGAUUAGAUACCCUGGUAGU